rnacentral:rRNA from 1 species
AGUGACCUCAAGCGUUAUCCGGAAUCAUUGGGCGUAAAGCGUACCAAUAGGUGGUUUAGAAAGUCAGAAGUGAAAUCUCCGAGCUUAACUCGGAAUCUGUCUUUUGAAACUUCUAAACUAGAGGGGCAAAGAGGAAGCUGGAACAAACGGUGUAGUAGUGAAAUGCGUUGAUAUCGUUUGGAACACCAAUAGCGUAGGCAGGCUUCUGGGUGCCACCUGACACUGCUAGGACGAAAGCGUGGGUAGCGAUAAGGAUUAGAUACCCUUGUAGUCCACGCUGUAAACGAUGUACAUUCGGUGCUAGGGAGUAUCGACCCUCCUUAGUACCUAAGCUAACGCGUUAAAUGUACCGCCUGGGGAGUACGGCCGCAAGGCUA